CCGCAUUGGGAUCGGCCCGCGGCCCAUUAGCUUGUUGGUGAGGUAACGGCUCACCAAGGCUGCGAUGGGUAGCUGGUCUGAGAGGACGAUCAGCCACACUGGGACUGAGACACGGCCCAG
rnacentral:rRNA from 1 species